AUUGAACGCUGGCGGCAGGCCUAACACAUGCAAGUCGAACGGCAGCACGGCAGUAGCAAUACUGUGGGUGGCGAGUGGCGGACGGGUGAGGAAUACAUCGGGAUCUACCCUGUUGUGGGGGAUAACGUAGGGAAACUUACGCUAAUACCGCAUAAGAACUGAGGUUGAAAGCGGCGGACCGCAAGGCGUCGCGCGAUUGGAUGAACCGAUGUCCGAUUAGCUAGUUGGCGGGUAAAGGCCCACCAAGGCGACGAUCGGUAGCUGGUCUGAGAGGACGACCAGCCACACUGGAACUGAGACACGGUCCAGACUCCUACGGGAGGCAGCAGUGGGGAAUAUUGGACAAUGGGCGCAAGCCUGAUCCAGCCAUGCCGCGUGGGUGAAGAAGGCCUC
rnacentral:rRNA from 1 species